rnacentral:rRNA from 1 species
CAAUAGCGUAUAUUAAAGCUGUUGCGGUUAAAAAGCUCGUAGUUGGAUUUCUGUCAAGGACAACUGGUCCGCCCUCCGGGUGAGCACAUAGUUUGGUCUUGGCAUCUUGCUGGAAGCUGUUGCUGCACUUGGCUGUGUGGCGCAGCGUCCAGCACUUUCACUUUGAGGAAAUUGGGGUGUUUCAAGCAGGCACAUGCCUUUGGACACAGUAGCAUGGAAUAAUUAGAUUGGGCUUUUGCUCCAAUUUGUCGGUUUCUGGAGCUGAGGUGAGAAUUAAUGGGGAUUGUUGGGGGCAUCCGAAUUUAGCCGUCAGAGGUGAAAUUCUUGGAUCUGCUAAAGACGGACAACUGCGAAAGCGUUUGCCCAGGAUGUUUUCAUUGA